rnacentral:misc_RNA from 1 species
GAAUGCGAUAAGUAAUGUGCAUUGCAGAAUUCAGUGAAUCAUCGAAUCUUUGAACGCACAUUGCGCCCGCCAGUAUUCUGGCGGGCAUGCCUGUUCGAGCGUCAUUACAACCCUCAGGCCCCCGGGCCUGGCGUUGGGGAUCGGCGGAAGCCCCCUGCGGGCACAACGCCGUCCCCCAAAUACAGUGGCGGUCCCGCCGCAGCUUCCAUUGCGUAGUAGCUAACACCUCGCAACUGGAGAGCGGCGCGGCCACGCCGUAAAACACCCAACUUCUGAAUGUUGACCUCGAAUCAGGUAGGAAUACCCGCUGAACUUAAGC